UACGGAGGGGGCGAGCGUUGUCCGAAGUUACUGGGCGUAAAGCGCGCGUAGGCGGGAGGCCAAGUCCGCUGUGAAAGCCCGGGGCUUAACCCCGGCGGGUCGGUGGAGACUGGUCUUCUUGAAGAUGCUAGGGGGAGAUGGAAUUAUCGGUGUAGCGGUGAAAUGCGUAGAGAUCGAUAGGAACACCAGUGGCGAAGGCGGUCUCCUGGGGCACUCUUGACGCUGAGGCGCGAAAGCUGGGUGAGCGAACGGG
rnacentral:rRNA from 1 species